GACGAACGCUGGCGGCGUGCCUAAUACAUGCAAGUAGAACGCACAGUUUAUACCGUAGCUUGCUACACCAUAGACUGUGAGUUGCGAACGGGUGAGUAACGCGUAGGUAACCUGCCUGGUAGCGGGGGAUAACUAUUGGAAACGAUAGCUAAUACCGCAUAAUAUUAAUUAUUGCAUGAUAAUUGAUUGAAAGAUGCAACUGCAUCACUACCAGAUGGACCUGCGUUGUAUUAGCUAGUAGGUGAGGUAACGGCUCACCUAGGCGACGAUACAUAGCCGACCUGAGAGGGUGAUCGGCCGCACUGGGACUGAGACACGGCCCAGACUCCUACGGGAGGCAGCAGUAGGGAAUCUUCGGCAAUGGACGAAAGUCUGACCGAGCAACGCCGCGUGAGUGAAGAAGGUUGUCGGAUCGUAAAGCUCUGUUGUAAGAGAAGAACGGGUGUGAGAGUGGAAAGUUCACACUGUGACGGUAUCUUACCAGAAAGGGACGGCUAACUACGUG
rnacentral:rRNA from 1 species